rnacentral:tRNA from 1 species
UAGUUCAAGUGGUAGAGCACAUGCUUAACAUGCAUGAGGUCCUGGGUUCAAUCCCCAG